UUACGGUCACAUCACGUUUAAACACCGGUUUCCGCACGAUCACCGAAGUUAAGCAACGUCAAGCCUGGUCAGUACCUAGAUGGGUGACAGCUUGGCGAAUAUCAG